rnacentral:rRNA from 1 species
CCUAGCAGCCAUAUCACCCUGCAACUCACAACCGGCAACCCACUGAAGCUAAGCAGGUGUGAGCUUGGUCAGUACCUGGAUAGGAGACCUCCUGGGAAAAACUAAGGUUGCUGCUAGAA